rnacentral:misc_RNA from 1 species
CCAACGUCAAAAUUUUAUGAUUUCAGUUCAAAUUUUACGAUUCAAAAUUUUUACAAGUUUUUCAUUGUUCAAUAUUCGACUAUGAACGGAUUUCUCAAUUACGCCAGACCAAAUUUAUCACUGAUCAGAAGAUUUGAAAAAUUGCCGCACGGUCUCACUGUCAAAUUCGUAUCGAAUUCAACUGUCAAAAACGAUGAGGGGUUCCUGUCAAGGUUCAAAAAAUUAUUCGGCCAAUCAUCCGCGCAUGUUGAGGAUUUCGGAAGAACGAAAAUUUGCCGGAGAGACACGAGGACUUUUUCUCAUCACCGUGAAAAGUGCUCCUUCGUUACGUACGGUGGAUUUUUGCGCUCCGUGAACUCGAACAUGAGAACCGUAGGAAUGUCCAAACGCCAGAUGUCAAUUUUGGGUUCCUUGAAGGCCGCGAUGGGCUUAAGCCCACGGAAUUCAAAACCCGUACCCAUCCGUGAACCGAACAUGCCGCAAAAACCGGUGGAUCAGAAAAAAGAGGAGAAACGAAAAAACGAGAAACCUGUCCUGCGGACUGAUCAAGCUGAAAACGCAGAGGAGGUAACGCACGUACGCUCGGCUAUGAUGGAUGAACAUGGGAAGGCCGUGACCGAAGAUAACUUUGUUCGCACCGAAUGGGGAGUAAGAAUAAAAGAUAAGGCGCGAAAAGUUGACCCCCAGGUAAGCGAUUCUAAAGCAGAUGUUAAAAAGCCAUUUUACUUUGAAAAAUCACUUUGGGGAGUCAACGUCAGACAGUUCAUGACCAGGGUCAAUGAACUCCGUAAGGGAAAUGACCUUGGCUCAAAUCGAAGGCAUCAAACUCCCGAAACUGCGCCCGGCGAUGAUUUAGACGUCAACGUUCUGUCGGCAAAAUCUGAAACCGGAGCUACCGAAACGGAUUUCGAAAGGUCAGCGGUCUCCUCGUAUCGAAAUAUACCCGAGGAGGUUAAUUUUGAGAGUAAUUCACCCGAUAUAAAACCAGGAGGUGAAACGAGCGCUUGGAAAGAGUUAACGGAGAAAAGUCUGAGCAGUUUAGAGCAACGGAAAACAGGAUCUUCCUUCGUCAAAGUGCCUGGAAUGUUUCUCCAACCGGAACCACCUGUUCCAAAAAAAGACGUGAAAUCCAUUCCUCCGAUUUGGAAUUUCGAGGCCGAACUCAACGAAGAAGAGAUGCGAGAGAAGCGGGCUGCUGCUGUUAAGAAAGUUGAUAGUCAGAAGACGUUAUUCGGAAGGCUGCUGAAAAAUCCGUUCCGGGUUGUUAAAAAGCCAUGAUUUUAGAAGAAAAAAAAAACAAAAUGGCUGAAUCAAUCCGCGGAAACGUAUCUUCGGCACAGGCGAAGGAAUUACGUCCGGACCGAAAGGUCAGAGGGAAACUUUCCUGGGAAAACUGAACCCUUUGGCAAAAAGCUGCCGCCGAUUUGUGGUCACCGAAGGCAGACGACCCUGUCCAAACGAGUCGCCCCGA